AACGAACGCUGGCGGCAUGCCUAACACAUGCAAGUCGAACGAGACCUUCGGGUCUAGUGGCGCACGGGUGCGUAACGCGUGGGAACCUGCCCUUAGGUUCGGAAUAACUCCCCGAAAGGGGUGCUAAUACCGGAUAAUGUCUUCGGACCAAAGAUUUAUCGCCUUUGGAUGGGCCCGCGUUGGAUUAGCUAGUUGGUAGGGUAAAAGCCUACCAAGGCGACGAUCCAUAGCUGGUCUGAGAGGAUGAUCAGCCACACUGGGACUGAGACACGGCCCAGACCCCUACGGGAGGCAGCAGUGGGGAAUAUUGGAAAAUGGGCGAAAGCCUGAUCCAGCAAUGCCGCGGGAGUGAUGAAGGCCUUGGGGUUGAAAAGCUUUUUUACCCGGGAUGAUAAUGACAGGACCGGGAGAAUAAGCCCCGGCUAACUCCGG
rnacentral:rRNA from 1 species